GAUGAAGAACGCAGCGAAAUGCGAUACGUAAUGUGAAUUGCAAAUUCAGUGAAUCAUCGAGUCUUUGAACGCACAUUGCGCCCCCUGGUAUUCCGGGGGGCAUGCCUGUCCGAGCGUCAUUGCUGCCCUUAAGCACGGCUUGUGUGUUGGGCCCCGUCCUCCGAUCCCGGGGGACGGGCCCGAAAGGCAGCGGCGGCACCGCGUCCGGUCCUCGAGCGUAUGGGGCUUUGUCACCCGCUCUGUAGGCCCGGCCGGCGCUUGCCGAUCAACCCAAAUUUUUAUCCAGGUUGACCUCGGAUCAGGUAGGGAUACCCGCUGAACUUAAGCAUAUCAAUAAGCGGAGGA
rnacentral:misc_RNA from 1 species